ACAACUACUGAGCCCGCGUGCCACAACUACUGAAGCCUGCGUGCCUAGAGCCCGUGCUCUGCAACAAGAGAAGCCACCGCAAUGAGAAGCCCGCGCACCACAACGAAGAGCAGCCCCCGCUCGCCGCAACUAGAGAAAGCCCACGCGCAGCAACGAAGACCCAACACAGCCAAAAAAAAGUAAAUAAAUU